CCAGAGAGGGUGAGAGCCC
rnacentral:snRNA from 1 species